AUUGAACGCUGGCGGCAGGCCUAACACAUGCAAGUCGAGCGGAUGAAGGGAGCUUGCUCCUGGAUUCAGCGGCGGACGAGUGAGUAAUGCCUAGGAAUCUGCCUGGUAGUGGGGGAUAACGUCCGGAAACGGGCGCUAAUACCGCAUACGUCCUGAGGGAGAAAGUGGGGGAUCUUCGGACCUCACGCUAUCAGAUGAGCCUAGGUCGGAUUAGCUAGUUGGUGGGGUAAAGGCCUACCAAGGCGACGAUCUGUAACUGGUCUGAGAGGAUGAUCAGUCACACUGGAACUGAGACACGGUCCAGACUCCUACGGGAGGCAGCAGUGGGGAAUAUUGGACAAUGGGCGAAAGCCUGAUCCAGCCAUGCCGCGUGUGUGAAGAAGGUCUUCGGAUUGUAAAGCACUUUAAGUUGGGAGGAAGGGCAGUAAGUUAAUACCUUGCUGUUUUGACGUUACCAACAGAAUAAGCACCGGCUAACUUCGUG
rnacentral:rRNA from 1 species